UACGUAGGCAGCAAGCGUUGUUCGGAAUUACUGGGCGUAAAGAGUGUGUAGGCGGUGCUGUAAGUUUGGUGUGAAAUCUCCCGGCUCAACUGGGAGGGUGCGCCGGAAACUGGAAUGCUUGAACGUGGGAGAGGAAAGCGGAAUUCCUGGUGUAGCGGUGAAAUGCGUAGAUAUCAGGAGGAACACCUGCGGUGUAGACGGCUUGCUGGACCAUUGCUGACGCUGAGACGCGAAAGCGUGGGUAGCAAACAGG
rnacentral:rRNA from 1 species